AUACGGAGGGUGCGAGCGUUAAUCGGAAUUACUGGGCGUAAAGCGCGCGGAGGCGGUUUGGUCAGUCGGAUGUGAAAGCCCUAGGCUCAACCUGGGAAUGGCAUUCGAUACUGCCUGACUAGAGUAUGGUAGAGGGAAGUGGAAUUUCCGGUGUAGCGGUGAAAUGCGUAGAUAUCGGAAGGAACACCAGUGGCGAAGGCGACUUCCUGGGCCAAUACUGACGCUGAGGUGCGAAAGCGUGGGGAGCAAACAGGAUUAGAAACCCCGGUAGUCC
rnacentral:rRNA from 1 species